rnacentral:sRNA from 2 species
GGGGGCAACGGCGCUGGGCGCCCCACGGGCUGCAAACCCGUCGGCCCGGCCUCACCAGCCGGGAGGAGGUUCGAUUCCCCUUGCCCCCUCCA